UGGUGGGGUGGAGAGGAGACCGAGAACCGGCGGGGCAGCGGCUGUAAGGAGCGACUCGAUCGGCAGCUCGGUCCCUGUGGCCCGGACACCAGCGGCGGGGAUGCGGGACGGAGCUGUGGCCGCGGUGCACAGCAUCAUCCCACGGCCGAAUGCGCUCAAGGUCUUCGGGGCACCUGCCGCUUCACCCGGGACACCAGCUCCCUCAGCUGCCCCUGCCUCCCGACUGCUGAGCAGCGUCUGUACCUGCACAACCUGCUGGGAAUCUUCCGGGACGUCUGCACCAGGGGCGAGGGGGACCGAAUCUGCUGUCGGAACACCACCCAGGCCAGGGUGGAUGCUGGCGAUGUCCUCCUGAACUACAGCUGGGUUAUCUCUCUCACUGUCUACUGUGAGAUCGGGGACAAGGCAGGUGCGGGGUGUCCCAGGUAGGGGACAUCGGCCGACCGGUCUUCUAGCUCUCCACCGGUGACGUCUCAGGAAGUUGUGUCCACCGGGAAGGACCAACCAGAUGGAGGAGAGGCGUGGAACACCACAACGGGGGCAGCG